rnacentral:rRNA from 1 species
GUGAGGAAUAUUGGUCAAUGGGCGAGAGCCUGAACCAGCCAAGUCGCGUGAAGGAAGAAGGAUCUAUGGUUCGUAAACUUCUUUUGCAGGGGAAUAAAGUGCAGGACGUGUCCUGUUUUGUAUGUACCCUGAGAAUAAGGAUCGGCUAACUCCGUGCCAGCAGCCGCGGUAAUACGGAGGAUCCGAGCGUUAUCCGGAUUUAUUGGGUUUAAAGGGUGCGUAGGUGGUUUGAUAAGUCAGCGGUGAAAGUUUGCAGCUUAACUGUAAAAAUGCCGAUGAAACUGUCGGACUUGAGUGUAAAUGAGGUAGGCGGAAUGCGUGGUGUAGCGGUGAAAUGCAUAGAUAUCACGCAGAACUCCGAUUGCGAAGGCAGCUUACUAAGCUACAACUGACACUGAAGCACGAAAGCGUGGGGAUCAAACAGGAUUAGAUACCCGGGUAGUCC